rnacentral:tRNA from 1 species
AGGCUCGUGGUGUAGAGGCUAUCAUUAUGGGUUUUGGUCUCAUAGACCUCGGUUCAAAUCCGGGCGAGCCUG